ACAUAUACACACAGUAUAUAUAUUAAAAUAAUCAUGAGACCAUUUUGAGACACUUAAGUUUUUAUUGAUUUUUAUGUAUUUUUAUCAUUAACUGAUUUUUUAAUUUAUGAUCCUGAAGGAUCUUUAUUCACUCUUUAUUAAUCUUUUCCUUUGAACUGUACACAGUGAACUCUUGGAUCCUGAAGGAUGAAAAAUUCUUAAUCAAAUAUGGCGACAGUAGCCCCCUUGUUUUUAUCCACAAGUUCUGUCCAGAACAUCUCACAGUCCUAUCUUUUCACAAACAGGAAAGAAGUGAACAGUUCCUCUGGAGCUUUGUGUAGGGAUUUAAUUUGGUGCUCAUCUGCUUGUUGGUAUGUAGUAUGCAUCAUCAAAUCUUUUAGUUAAAAAUUAAACUGUAGUUUACAGCAGAAACGGCGACAAACGAUCGUGACUCCUGCCACGAACUCUGACAGCUGAUACAUAAAAAUGUAUAAUAAUAAUAAUAAUAAUAGUAAUACAAUUGUGGGAACUUUGCAUCAUUUAAAAAAAAAAAAAAACACCACUGCACACCACUGAGAACAGUGUAGUUUUUACCGAGCAAACAGCAAAAACAGCGAGGAAAAACCGUCAGUAGCCCCUCACUGCAGAACAAAGAUCCAGGGUACGGAGUUGGAUCCACAUCCAGGGGGUGGAAAUGUGAGGACCAUCUCAAAACUGUGGCAAUUCUCUGGGGAUGCCACCGGAAGUGGCGCUGCGACCUGCCGCUGCCAGGAUUUGCACCUGCUCUCUCUCCCUCCAGGACAGGUUUGAGAACCACUGCUCUAGAUAAAAUGACCGAAGACCACCAGGGGGUCGUAAGGGGCGUAGAUCCAAAGUGGACCCCUUCCUCAUCCUCAGGAAAACAUCAAACUGCCACAUCCAGUCCGCUGGUGAGACUGUGAGAGACGUGCAUGUCUGAGACCGCGAAGAGCACAUCGUUGACCACAGCCUCAGCCUCCAGCCUCAUGUCCUUCACCUCCCCCAGCUCCACACAGCGCUCCUCAUACGAACA